AAAAUAAGCAUAUCAAUAAGCGGAGGAAAAGAAACCACCAGGGAUUCCCUUAGUAACGGCGAGCGAAAAGGGAUGAGCCCAGCAUGUAAAUCUCCGGUUUCCGGCGAAUUGUAGUCUGGAGUAGCAACUCCUGGUGCCGUGCCGGCCCAAGCAUCUUGGAAUAGAUCGCCUCAGAGGGUGAGAGCCCCGUAGGUCGGUACGAGCUCCUACACGGAGUGCUCACGCAGAGUCGGGUUGUUUGGGAAUGCAGCCCCAAUUGGGUGGUAAACCCCAUCUAAGGCUAAAUACCUGUGGGAGACCGAUAGCAAAAAAGUACCUCGAGGGAACGAUGAAAAGACCGCUGGCAAGCGAGUGAAAGAGUGCAUGAAAUUGUAUAGUGGGAAGGGAUGGCCUGGCGUAUUGCCCGCGGGUAUACACUGCUCCUUGAGCUCUUGAAUACACCGUGGGCUGGCUGGUGCCGACACCUGCGCUUGCAAAUCCCCAAACUAAGGUGUUUGGCUCUUCAAGCGCGGGUGUUGAGGUUGAUCGUCGCUUUGUUUUAAACUGCGUCGACAAAGCACCAGCUGAAGCCUGGCCAUCUACCCGUCUGGAAAAACCCGGAA
rnacentral:rRNA from 1 species